UACGUAGGGGGCUAGCGUUGUCCGGAUUUAUUGGGCGUAAAGAGCGUGUAGGCGGCCAGACAGGUCAGCUGUGAAAACUCGAGGCUCAACCUCGAGACGUCGGUUGAAACCGUUUGGCUAGAGUCCGGAAGAGGAGAGUGGAAUUCCCGGUGUAGCGGUGAAAUGCGCAGAUAUCGGGAAGAACACCCGUGGCGAAGGCGGCUCUCUGGGACGGUACUGACGCUGAGACGCGAAACGUGGGGAGCGAACAGG
rnacentral:rRNA from 1 species